UACGUAGGGGGCAAGCGUUGUCCGGAUUUAUUGGGCGUAAAGAGCGUGUAGGCGGUUUGGUAGGUCCGCUGUGAAAACUCGAGCUCAACCUCGAGACGCCGGUGGAAACCAUCAAACUAGAGUCCGGAAGAGGAGAGUGGAAUUCCUGGUGUAGCGGUGAAAUGCGUAGAUAUCUGGAGGAACACCGGUGGCGAAGGCGGCAUCCUGGACCAACACUGGACGCUGAGUGAGCGAAAGCCAGGGGAGCAAACGGGG
rnacentral:rRNA from 1 species